UACGUAGGGGGCAAGCGUUAUCCGGAUUUAUUGGGCGUAAAGAGCGUGUAGGCGGCCAGGUAGGUCUGCUGUGAAAACUCGAGGCUCAACCUCGAGAUGUCGGCGGAAACCAUCUGGCUAGAGUCCGGAAGAGGAGAGUGGAAUUCCUGGUGUAGCGGUGAAAUGCGCAGAUAUCAGGAAGAACACCCGUGGCGAAGGCGGCUCUCUGGGACGGUACUGACGCUGAGACGCGAAAGCGUGGGGAGCGAACAGG
rnacentral:rRNA from 1 species